rnacentral:lncRNA from 1 species
ACUUACCCUACCGACAUGCUGCCAACCCUGCUUAAUUUUGUGCACCCCAUAUCUCAUGGAAGAAAGCAGAUAUCCCAUGGAUUAUUACAUGCUAAAAAUAGAGGAAGGCAUCGGGUGUUUGGACAUCCAAAUCUGGUUGGGCAUGGGACUUGUUGUGGCGCAUGGAGAGAAGAGUUUAAUCCAAUUAGGACUCCUCUUUAGGUGACUGAUUUAAAUUAAUUUAAAUUCUAAUCAAUUUUAAUCAUAUUAGAAGUUGAUUAGAUCCAAACAGAUAGAAAUCUAAAUCUGAUUUGGAGCUCAAACUAUUUAGAUCAGAUGUCACCUAAUUAGAGAAGGAGUCUUUGUCCUUUUGGACUCUCUCUUGGUGCUUGAGUCAAAUUCAAAAUUAAUCCUAAUCCAAUUAGGAUUUGGUAUACCCAUGAAUAUGAGAAUUUC